rnacentral:lncRNA from 1 species
CUUGAUGGAUGAAUUAUAAUACUUUGUGAUCUUCUUCUCUGUGGAGAAUAAAGGAUUAUUUAUAUACUUCUGAGAGUGUCCCAAAUUAUCUAUUGAGACUUUUUAGGGAAAACCAGUAAAAAAAUGUCCAAUAAAUACAUUCACAUCUACAAAAAUUAUAACACAUAAUAAAUACCCUUGUCAUUAGAUUUUAUGAAGCUUAGCAAGAGGUCAAGCACAGUUGCUUCUGUCUCUCCAUGAUGAACCCACCUUUUGAUGGAUCAACUAAGUAGUCAGAGACACUCAAGGGGAGUAAUUGGUCUGCAUUGCUCUACAGAUAGAUUCACAUC